rnacentral:misc_RNA from 1 species
UGGCUGAGUUUCAUGUACAAGCCCUGCAACAGCAAUACACACCCUAUUACAAUUAGAAGAUAGCUGCAUAUUCAUUUCUUGUUAAGAAACUUUCUUUUCAUUAUUUUCUUCUGAGUCUAGGAAACUAAAGUAGCAUCAAAAUAAUCACAAAUCAUAAAAUACCCAAUAAUGGUUCUUUAAUCUUUACAGAAUUAGAUUUAAAGUAAUAUCCAAUCCAUGGAUAGGUACUUCCUAAAGCAGUCAUAAAAAUAAGUUGUUUGAUGAAAUACAAUGACCAUUUUAGCCAAAUGUCAAUGACAGGACAAUGUAUAACACUUGCCAAAUUAUAAUUCCAUUUUAAUUUCAAAAUCUUUGCCAAUCUGCUCGGUGAAUGAUUAGAUAUGUGUUCAUUUCUAAAUUAGGCAUGCAAUAAUUACAUUUGUUGUAUGUAUUGUUGCUCCAGUAGUCAUGCUGAUUUUUUGAUCAGGGACCAGCUCGAAGUUCAUCUUCUGCAGAAAAAUCGCAAGGGCAACAAUAGCUUCUAGUAAAGCAAACUGAUCACCAACACAUUUACGAGGUCCUCCACUAAAAGGAAUGAACCUGUGAUUAAUAAUAGCCAAUUCAGAAUCUAGCUGAUAUUAAAUUGGGCAAAUUAAAGCCAAAAAGCAUUGGUUGUGGGGGGGGGUGUGACACCGGACUUUUAAGUUCAAAGAAGAGUGCAUGUUUCUAAGAAAAGAGAGAGAGAAGCAAAAAUAAAAAGAAUCAUAAGAAACAAGUACCUAAAAUCUGUAUUUGUUUCAUUAGGCAUUGGGCCUUCCAAGUCAAAUCUUUCUGGCACAAACUCUUCAGCUCUCUCCCAGACCUUAUAAAAUUAUACCACAAGAAAUACCAUAAGACAAUUCAGGCAGCAAGCUCACCCUUGGUUUCAUGACAGAGGAGGAAAAGAAAUCAAGACUCAUAACUACCUUGAAAUGCAUAUAUGCCCGUUGAGUUUUUCAAUAGCUCACUUGAUAAAAUAUUAAUGAUGAAAAGUAUGAAAUUUCAAUAGCACUUCCCUUUGAUUUGUUCUGGAAAAACAAAUUAUAAUGGAAAUUGCUUUUCAAUUCCAGUUAUAGUUCAGGAAAAGAUAGUUUCAUUCACGAAGUAUGUAGCCAUAGUGGAAUGGAAAUAUAGGAAAAGGAAUUCAUUUGAAUAUGAAAGCCUGUCAGCAUUGGGCCUUGGCUAAGGUGGUAAUAGAAUGUAGAGGGUGUUGAUCCUAAAUUAGAAACUCAACCUUUGAAAAGAGUUUAAUUAAGCAAUCUUAUUGCUUACUUCUCACAAGCUUGCAAUGCAAGCACUUGAAACUUUCAAAUCCAUACCUCAAAGAAAGAACCAAAUUUGAUUCUCAGUUACAAAACAGAUCCAUACCAAAGAGGGCAAUGGUUGCUUAAAAUAUAAGCUUAAACAUAGAAUUCACAUUAUUCAUGGAAAUAGACCUUCAAAAAAUCACAACACAAAGUGAUACCUUUGAGGAGUGAUGGAUAUUGUACACUGAAAUCAUUACAUCUUGACCAGCAUUAACCUUGUAAUUUCCUGGGAGCACAUCAGCGACCUGAGCUCUUCUUAACAAGACAGGAGGAUGGGGGUAGAGACGUAAUGACUCAUUUAUGCAGCAUGUCAAAAACUUUAGAUCCUUUAUAUCUUCAUAGGUAGGAGGUCUUCCUUGUAAUACUCGGUCAACCUCUUCUUGUGCCUUCACUAGUGAGGAUGAAUCCUUACUUAGAAGGUAUAACGUCCAAGUCAACACUGAACCAGUCGUCUCGUGGCCAGCAACUAACAUCGAUAACAAGUCAUCACGUAAUUGUACACUUGAAACCUCUUCCCUGCUAGCAAGCAAGAAGCGAAGGAUGCUUGGAUCAGUGUCAUUUACAUAUUCCUCAACGUCUAUCCUUUCACCCUCGGCCUCCACAAUCUCUUUGCAUUUUGCAAUAAGUUCUUCAACUGUUUGCCUGAUUACUGUAACUGCUUUUUCAGCUUUUAUUUGUCUAGGGAUUAUCUUACAUAAAGCUUUAACCUUCCAAUAUGGCAAAAGAUCUGUGGAACGAGCCUCUGCCUCUUUCAAUGCAGUGUAAACAGCAUCAAUAACAGGGCUAUCAGUGGUGAGAGAAUCAAAAUUGUAAUUGAAGACUGAGAGACCAAUAACAUCAAGAGUUAAUUGAGAGAAUUUUUCCUCCAUAUUUACAGCAGUGCCACUCAGUGCAUCGGGUUGGAGCUUCUCCACCAAUCUCUGAGCACACUUGCAAAAUACUCUAUCAACUAUAAUAGACAAAUACUUCUUGUGAAGUGAUGGAACCACAGCCCUGCGCCUUGCCGUCCAAAGGGGUCCCUCGGCAAUGGCAAACCCCGAGCCGAAGAGAAACUCUGAGACCUCAGAGACAAGGCCCUUAGCGUACUUGCCAUAAUUCCUAAGCACAUGCUUAGCAAUAGCGGGGUCGCUAACCACCACGAAAUUUCUGGGGCCAGCAGCAAGCCUGUAGAUGGGACCGUACUCGUUCAUCCAUUUAAACAAAGGAAGAAACAGAGCGCCACCCAGAAGCUCAGACACAUCCUCAAGCUUAGCACUGGCUAUGGGAAUGCCAGAGUCGUCGUUUUGGCCUAACGUGAGGGUCCGAGAGAGGGAAGUGAGCCAGUCUGGGCUAACCCAAGAACUGGAUUUAACGGUAUUUGAAAUGGGUUUCCGAGUUUUGUUAUCUUGAGAGGAUUUAAUGGAGAGAAAUUGAGGUUUUGGAAUAAGAGAGGAGGAAGUGGACUUGAAGAAAGGGGUUGGGAGUGAGAAAGAAGAGAGGGGAUACGAAAGUGGCACCAUGACUGUUAAAAAUAGCCAAAACGACGACGUUGUUAAUGUCACUCCGCUGUCUCCAUUUCCUUUAUAUGGGUCUCGCUCUCCCCAGUGGCCAUGGCUGCUGUCUG